rnacentral:tRNA from 1 species
GCAGAUUUAGAAAAUGGUGUAAAACUGAUUCGUAAUCAGUAGGUCGUCAGUUCAAUUCUGAUCGUUGGCUCCA